ACUCUCUUAAUUCCCGAGACUUAAAAUUUAAACCUUAUGUGAGACUUAUAAUCAUUUAAGUCGUAAAGACUUAUUUUAGUGAUGCCUUGAUUUAAAAUUUCUCGGAGGUUUCGCGAAAACAAUCGAUGUUUUAAUUCUUUUGGAAAGACUUAAAACUUUAACCAAUCAUAUCGCGAUGAAUUGGAAUCACGUGACCAGAGCAAAAUUUCCACCGCCGCCAUAAUUUCUCUCUCAUAAUGGCUGCGAUCCCGGGCUGCGAUGGAAGGAUAUUUGACCAAAAGCGUUCCGGAGGACAUUAUUCCCGACAUUAUUGCAAAAUUAAAAGGAAGUGCUCUAUUGUGAUGGAGAAGGGUUCAUCCAAACUUGUCUUAAAAACUCCAGAAUGUCACAGCAACAGAAGAAGAAAAUGAGGAAACCGAAUAAGACCAGCGACAAAAAAGAAGAUGAAGCAGGUAUAGAUGAUGCACUAAUGGAAGAGACUGGUGCAAAGGAAAUGGUUGAAUGGAUGAAGCAUGCCAGCCCAACCAAAGAAAACUUACCAGCAAUAAGAGAAUACUUUCAGCGAACUUAUGAGUAUCAGCAGGCACAGGUCAAAGGGGAACUCUCUGUUAUCGAGCUCAUAUACCUGUAUCCAUGAUACGAGGAUUUAUCCAACUUGAUCAAUGUUGAAUUUGCACUUAUGUUUCCUGAGGAGUCUGGGAAUUUUCUGAAAAAAUGGGGGACUACCUUCAGGGAGAACAUCAUCACCACUGCCAAGGAGGAUUAUGCUACAAUACAACAGGUCAUGAAAGAUGAAGUUUCUGACAGAAGGAACUGAUUUGAGGAUGACGACUGGAAACUGAGAAAAUGUUCAGCCAACCUUUCCUUUUGAAGAAGAGCAAGCGACACUACUUGGUGUUGGACCAAAAAGUCCUUGUGGCAGGUGAUAUACCUUUGUUGAUAGAUUUGACAGGCUCUUCAAAGCCCAUUACUGUUUCGAUGUCCACUUUGCCCAAGUUUUGGCACCAUUUUAUGAAUAUUUAGCAGCCUACGUAUAUGGGGUGUUGCACCCAUCCAAGGUGAGACCUGCAGUGCGCUCACUUGCAUCAGUUAUUAUGUCUGAUCAGUAAUCCGUACAAACUGAACCCUCUUCGUGUUAGACCAAAAUGUUAUACUUUGAUCAUCACUAAAUAGGCAGGCCAAUUCACAUCGUGAAUUGAUAUAGAAAAGUACUGAACACAGCACAACUGCAGCAGACGCAGCUUCUGUCUUACUUUUGACACGCGCAUCGGUAUCUAUGAUGUGCGUGUGAGUGGGAUUACCUUGCGCGCAGAUGAAGAAAAGCCUUACAUUUCCUGCCUGUUUAGUGAUAAUCAAAGUAGAGUGGCAGGUGAUGGCUGUGUCAAAUUAUUUGACAGGCUAUUAGAAGCCCAUUUUGUUGUUUUAAAGGGAUGGUCCGGGUUAAAAAUAUUUAUACAUGUAUCUGAAUACAUAGAGUAGAAUUCA